rnacentral:lncRNA from 1 species
AAUCCGGCUAAGAACCAUGAGGUUUCAGGUUCGAUCCCUGGCCUUGCUCAGAUCCGGCAUUGCCGUGAGCUGUGGUGUAAGUAGCAGAUGCGGCUCCAAUUCGAUCCCUAGCCUGGAAACCCCCAUAUGCUGCCGGUGUGGCCUUAAAAGGCCAAAAUAAAAUAAAAUAUUAAAAAACCCACAAAACAAAAUAGCGUCAAAAUGUUCGUACUUCCUGCCCUCCUCCACUGUAUCUGAGGGUUAGAAGCAGGGGCAGAGGAAGUGCCUCUGUGGUGUUUCUCAGUGUCCCUUUGGCCCCUCUGACUUUUCUCUACCAGACCACAGCAAUGGGUGAAGCGGGUGACUCAUUACCUCCAGCAUCGGAGCUGAGACAGUGAACUGGGGGGAGGAGUGAGGAGGCAAAGAAGAGCCAUGGACUCGCCUCUCCUCUGCCCACUCCCCAUCCUCCCCAUCCCGUCUAGUCAAAUCCAAAUUCCUAAAGAGAUGACCUUUUCCAGCCUUCACACAUUCAUCGGUUUAUCCCUUUGCUGCAACAGCCUCCCAGCCUCGGCCCUGGGCCGAUCCCCCUGCAGCCCUGCCCCAGCUGCAGUGCUUUUCUGUGGCUCUGUUGCUUACCUCCUAGAAGACCAAGUCAAGACCUGUGGGUUUAGCACAGAGGCCCUUCCCACACCACUGGCAGGUCCUGCCUACCCCUGCGGCCUCAGCUCUCCCCACUGCUCACCCCACAUGCCUCCAGGGCUCCUUUUUUUCUUUUUUUUUUUCCCCCUUGUGACAUGCUUCGGAAGUUCCCCAGCCAGGGAUGAGCCACAGCAGUGACAACACCCAAUCCUUAACCCACCAGGCCACUAGGGAAUUCCACUCCGAUUGGACCCCUAGCCUGGGAACCUCCAUAUGCCGCGGGAGCGGCCCAAGAAAUGGCAAAAAGACAGAAAAAAAAAAAUCACAACUAGGUUUAACCAUCACUUUUAGGAAAGCACUCCCAGAUUCUCUUCUUUAUGACUGAAUGAAUAGGUCAUUCAAAAUUCUGUAGUUCCAGUUGUGGCUCAGCAAUAACAAACCCAACUAGUAUCUAUCAGGACUCGGGCUCGAUUUCUGGCCUUGCUCAGUGGGUUAAGGAUCCGGCAUUACCAUGAGCUGUGGUGUAGGUUGCAGACUCGGAUCCCGAGUUGCUGUGGUUGUGACUGUGGCCAGCAGCUACAGUUCCAAUUCAACCCCUAGCCUGGGAACUUCCAUAUGGCACAGGCGCAACCCUCAACAAGCAAAAAAAAAAAAGCAAAACCUCCAAAAUUAGGUAGUCCCAAAUUCAAGAGGUUACCCAUCUUCUCCGAGUUUUUGUUGUUGUUUUGUUGGGGAGGUUUUGUUAUUGUUUUUGCUUGCGCCCAUGGUAUGCAAAAGUUCCUGGGCCAGGGAUUGAACCUGUGCCAUUGCAGGGACCUGAGCCACAGCGGCAGCAACGGGGGACCCUUGACUCAAUGCGUUACAGGGCAACUUCCCCAAAACAUUCUUAUACAAGUCACUAAGUGCACAAAUGCCUGCAUUUCUGUGGGUAUAUGUACAAGAGUGAAAUUGCUAGAUCACAGGGUACAAUACCUUCAACUUUAGUAGUUAGUGUCAAACUGUCUUCUCCCAAUUUACAUUUGAGAUUUCACAUUAUACCAUAUUCUCAAUAACCUCCAGUGCUGUCGGGAGUCCCCAUCACAGCUCAGUGGAAAUAAAUCCGACUAGUAUCCCUGAAGAUGUAGGUUCGAUCCCUGGCCUCACUCAGUGGGUUAAGGAUCUGGUGUUGCCAUAAGCUGUGGUGUAGGUCCCAGAUGCGGCUUGGAUCCUGGGUUGCUGUGGCUGUGGCUGUGGCCAGCAGCUGUAGCUCUGAUUUGACCCCUAGACUGGGAACUUCCAUAUGGGUGCGGCCCU